GAGGCGGAUGUGACGGCCCGUUUGCAGCCGCCGGCCGCUACUGCAAGGCAAAAGCCGGAGUGGACGUGUCUUUUGAAACUGCUGCUCUUUCACUUCUCAGGCGUCACCGAGAGCUCAGCACCCAGGCUGAACUCUGUACCAUUUGGAAGAAUGGAAGCUGAUGCAUCUGUUGACAUGUUUUCCAAAGUCCUGGAGCAUCAGCUGCUUCAGACUACCAAACUGGUGGAAGAACAUUUGGAUUCUGAAAUUCAAAAACUGGAUCAGAUGGAUGAGGAUGAAUUGGAACGCCUUAAAGAAAAGAGACUCCAGGCACUAAGGAAAGCUCAACAGCAGAAACAAGUAACCUCUCUGCCCUGCUUUCUGAAAUUGCUAUAACAGUAUGCGCCUAACAACUUAUAUAUACAUGUGCUGUAGUAGUUACAUUUCGUUCUUUGUGUUUAGGGUUUUUAGAAUUCAGAAUACCUAUUACUGUUAAAAAUUUGCCCAGAAAAAAAUAUGUUUUAAAGACAUUCAAAAUUAGCCCAAUCUCUAUAUUAAUCCACAGUCGAGUAAAAGAAAGAUCUGCCCAAGAUCGUUUUUCUGAGCUUGGAUUUGUUUGG
rnacentral:sRNA from 1 species